GGUGUGACUGCGUACCUUUUGUAUAAUGGGUCAGCGACUUAUAUUCUGUAGCAAGGUUAACCGAAUAGGGGAGCCGGAGGGAAACCGAGUCUUAAUUGGGCGUUAAGUUGCAGGGUAUAGACCCGAAACCCGGUGAUCUAGCCAUGGGCAGGUUGAAGGUUGGGUAACACUAACUGGAGGACCGAACCGACUAAUGUUGAAAAAUUAGCGGAUGACCUGUGGCUGGGGGUGAAAGGCCAAUCAAACCGGGAGAUAGCUGGUUCUCCCCGAAAGCUAUUUAGGUAGCGCCUCGUGAAUUCAUCUCCGGGGGUAGAGCACUGUUUCGGCUAGGGGGCCAUCCCGGCUUACCAACCCGAUGCAAACUGCGAAUACCGGAGAAUGUUAUCACGGGAGACACACGGCGGGUGCUAACGUCCGUCGUGAAGAGGGAAACAACCCAGACCGCCAGCUAAGGUCCCAAAGUCAUGGUUAAGUGGGAAACGAUGUGGGAAGGCCCAGACAGCCAGGAUGUUGGCUUAGAAGCAGCCAUCAUUUAAAGAAAGCGUAAUAGCUCACUGGUCGAGUCGGCCUGCGCGGAAGAUGUAACGGGGCUAAACCAUGCACCGAAGCUGCGGCAGCGACACUGUGUGUUGUUGGGUAGGGGAGCGUUCUGUAAGCCUGUGAAGGUGGCCUGUGAGGGUUGCUGGAGGUAUCAGAAGUGCGAAUGCUGACAUAAGUAACGAUAAAGCGGGUGAAAAGCCCGCUCGCCGGAAGACCAAGGGUUCCUGUCCAACGUUAAUCGGGGCAGGGUGAGUCGACCCCUAAGGCGAGGCCGAAAGGCGUAGUCGAUGGGAAACAGGUUAAUAUUCCUGUACUUGGUGUUACUGCGAAGGGGGGACGGAGAAGGCUAUGUUGGCCGGGCGACGGUUGUCCCGGUUUAAGCGUGUAGGUGUGUGUUCCAGGUAAAUCCGGUUCACUUUAACACUGAGGCGUGAUGACGAGGCACUACGGUGCUGAAGCAACAAAUGCCCUGCUUCCAGGAAAAGCCUCUAAGCAUCAGGUAACAUCAAAUCGUACCCCAAACCGACACAGGUGGUCAGGUAGAGAAUACCAAGGCGCUUGAGAGAACUCGGGUGAAGGAACUAGGCAAAAUGGUGCCGUAACUUCGGGAGAAGGCACGCUGACACGUAGGUGAAGUGAUUUACUCAUGGAGCUGAAGUCAGUCGAAGAUACCAGCUGGCUGCAACUGUUUAUUAAAAACACAGCACUGUGCAAACACGAAAGUGGACGUAUACGGUGUGACGCCUGCCCGGUGCCGGAAGGUUAAUUGAUGGGGUCAGCGCAAGCGAAGCUCCUGAUCGAAGCCCCGGUAAACGGCGGCCGUAACUAUAACGGUCCUAAGGUAGCGAAAUUCCUUGUCGGGUAAGUUCCGACCUGCACGAAUGGCGUAAUGAUGGCCAGGCUGUCUCCACCCGAGACUCAGUGAAAUUGAACUCGCUGUGAAGAUGCAGUGUACCCGCGGCAAGACGGAAAGACCCCGUGAACCUUUACUAUAGCUUGACACUGAACAUUGAGCCUUGAUGUGUAGGAUAGGUGGGAGGCUUUGAAGUGUGGACGCCAGUCUGCAUGGAGCCGACCUUGAAAUACCACCCUUUAAUGUUUGAUGUUCUAACGUGGACCCGUAAUCCGGGUUGCGGACAGUGUCUGGUGGGUAGUUUGACUGGGGCGGUCUCCUCCUAAAGAGUAACGGAGGAGCACGAAGGUUGGCUAAUCCUGGUCGGACAUCAGGAGGUUAGUGCAAUGGCAUAAGCCAGCUUGACUGCGAGCGUGACGGCGCGAGCAGGUGCGAAAGCAGGUCAUAGUGAUCCGGUGGUUCUGAAUGGAAGGGCCAUCGCUCAACGGAUAAAAGGUACUCCGGGGAUAACAGGCUGAUACCGCCCAAGAGUUCAUAUCGACGGCGGUGUUUGGCACCUCGAUGUCGGCUCAUCACAUCCUGGGGCUGAAGUAGGUCCCAAGGGUAUGGCUGUUCGCCAUUUAAAGUGGUACGCGAGCUGGGUUUAGAACGUCGUGAGACAGUUCGGUCCCUAUCUGCCGUGGGCGCUGGAGAACUGAGGGGGGCUGCUCCUAGUACGAGAGGACCGGAGUGGACGCAUCACUGGUGUUCGGGUUGUCAUGCCAAUGGCACUGCCCGGUAGCUAAAUGCGGAAGAGAUAAGUGCUGAAAGCAUCUAAGCACGAAACUUGCCCCGA
rnacentral:rRNA from 1 species